rnacentral:lncRNA from 10 species
CUCCAUUGAAUGGAAGAAAGCUUCUGAUAGACGUGCAUUCAACUUCCUAAACACACUGCACAGGCUCAGUUCCCCGGGGUAAGGAACGCACUGUGCAUGCGGGAAGACCACCCUAAGGGAAGAAUCAUGAGAAACAGUUGAAUUCUUCAUUCUGAGAAGGCAAGAACUGAAGUUGCUGCAGACCCGCAUGGAUACCAGUAACUCGGGAUAACUCGGACCUCUUCCACUGGUAACAUCAGUGACUCUUGUUUUUUGUUUGUUUUUCUAUCAUUUAAUACUGUUGCUAAAAUAAGGAAGUAUUUAUUAAAAUGAUUGCUGAAAGUGUGAAUAACUAAAUGAUCAUUUAGCUUUAUGGCAGGUGUCUUAUCUGGAAGGCGUAAUAUCAUGGUAUGUACAAACUUGAAAGAACUUAAGUAACAUGUAAAUUUCGAGUCUCUUUAAAACAUACAUUUUGUCUAUAUUUUCAACAAAUGGUAUAAAUUCAAUAAAAAGUAUAUCAGCUCUCAAACACAGUAUUUAUAAGAACAUAGGCAAUUUAGUGGCCAUUGUUUUUACUAGUUUUAAUCAUGUGAAAUUGCCAUUUUUCUAAUAUCCACAAAUGUGUGAAUAUAAGCAAUUACGUUUUAAACUAAAUAUCAGUACAGAAAAAAUCUGCAUAUACAUUAACUAUCAAGCUUUUAAAACACUAAAUUCUUUAGGAAACUUUAAAUAUGCACAUUUGAUUUACAUCAAACAUCUUUUGAUAGGGAUGAUAUAAAUAUCCAGUUGCCUUUUUGAUCAAAUUUUGCAUAGUAAGGAUUUUGCAUUUGAACAAAU